UAAACAUCUGUUUCAUUUGAAACCGGAGUUGAGCGAUCCUCCCUCUCUUGAAGCGCGCGCAUGUAUGUUGUGCCGUGGGUUUUGGGGGGAGGGGGUAGCUUAAAAUACAGGUGCGGCAGGGCGCCAAUCGUCUGAGCUAUAAGCAUAACUUGUUUAGUCCCGUAAAACGUACUAUUAUCCAUUUGCUGCAGCUAAUAUUAUAGGUCGAUUGGUCCCAAGCGCCGACUGAUGCAGUUAAAUUAUAUUUAAUUAUUAA
rnacentral:misc_RNA from 1 species